CUCAGUAUAAACAGAAAGAGAGCAGCAUCUCCAAAAUCUAGCUGUGUGUCUAUGAAGAGAAACAACUCCAUUAGUCUGACCCCUGAUCUUAGUGAUGGACCUGAGGCCUCGGAAUCUGUGGUGGGAUUGUAGGACUUCAGGGAACAAACACACA